rnacentral:lncRNA from 1 species
CUCUGUCCUGCUCUGCCAUGGUAGAUGUGCUUGCUUUCCCUUUGCCUUCUGCCAUGAUUGUAAGUUUCCUAAGGUUUUCCAGCCAUGCUUCCUGUACAGCCUGCAGAACUGCUCUUUCCUUUAUAAAAUACCCAGUCUCAGGCCUGUUAUUUGAUGAAGAUGAUAUAAAUAGAAGCAGAGCAGCACAUAGUGUGACCACGAAAGGCCAAAGAGCACAUACUGGAGACCUGAAUGUCAACCAAACUGCAUAAUCCCUGUUUAUCUUCAUUGUAGAAAUUGCCAUAACCAUAGUAUUUGUUUUACUCUGAUGAUCCCAUGGAGUCUCUGCUAUAAGCUACAAGGAAGAUUUUGUGAGUUCAGCCAAGAACGAGAGCUUCGGAGCCUUCAGGAAAAGGCUUGUACUGCAACCUGUUGACUUAUCAAAGCUGAUCUGAUAUUGAUUAGAGCAGGGAUCAGCAAAGGAUGGCCUGCUUCCCCGGAAAGACACUGCCUGUUUUUGUAAAUGUUUUAUUGAAGCACAACAUGUCCACUUACAUUUGUAUUGUCUUUUGUGACUUUUCUUUUGCUAAAAUGGCAGAGCUCAGUAGUUGUGACAGAGAGAAUCUGGCCUGCAAAUUAUUAUUUUUUCUUUUUCUCUUGCCCAUGCUGCAGUGCAGUCACAGCUCACUGCAGCCUUGAACUCCUGGUCUCAAGAGAUCCUCCUGCCUCAGCCUUCUGAGUAGCCAGGAUUGUAGGCACAUGCCAUCAUGCUCAGCUAAUUUUUUAAUUUUUUGUAGAGACUAAAUCUUGCUUUGUUGUCCAGGCUAGUCUUGAACUCCUGGGCUCAAGGUGCUCUCCCACUUCAGCCUCCCAAAGCACCAUUAUUACAGAUGUGAGCCAUUGCUCCUGGCCUGGCCUGCAAAUUCUAAAAUAGUUACUCUCUGAGAUUUUACAGAGAUAAUUUGCUCUCAGAUUCUACCAGUGGAUGGGGCUGGGUUUCUCGUAUUAUUUUAGGUUGAAAACUAGACAGCUUUGUGAAACUGGUAACACAAGAUUCAGCAGCACAAGAAUUAAUUAAAUAUAUCUAAAUGAGCUAAUGAGGAAAUUUUUAUUGUAAUAAUUUGUUUGUUUGAAAUAGUGUUGUUUUGUUUUUCUAUUUUUUGAAUAUAUGAGGAAGUCCUAUCUUUUCUUAAGCCAUUAACAACCCACAGAAGUUUAAUAAACUGCUUUCGUAAACUGAAAAAAAAAUUUGUAAAUGGUAGCUGAUUUAUAAUGACUUUUGUAUUUCAAAGCUUUUACU